AACGAACGCUGGCGGCAGGCUUAACACAUGCAAGUCGAGCGCCCCGCAAGGGGAGCGGCAGACGGGUGAGUAACGCGUGGGAAUUUACCUCCCGGUUCGGAAUAACGCAGCGAAAUUUGCGCUAAUACCGGAUACGGCCCUCGGGCGAAAAAUUUAUCGCCGAGAGAUGAGCCCGCGUCGGAUUCGCGAGGUGGUGUGGUAGCGGCGCACCAAGGCGACGAUCCGUAGCUGGUCUGAGAGGAUCAUCCGCCAAAUUGGGACUGAGACACGGCCCAAACUCCUACGGGAGGCAGCAGGGGGGAAUAUUGGACAAUGGGCGCAAGCCUGAUCCAGCCAUGCCGCGUGAGUGAUGAAGGCCUUAGGGUUGUAAAGCUCUUUCACUCGGGACGAUAAUGACGGUACCGAGAGAAGAAGCCCCGGCUAACUUCGUGCCAGCCGCCGCCGUAA
rnacentral:rRNA from 1 species